rnacentral:rRNA from 1 species
UACGGGGGGGGCAAGCGUUGUUCGGAAUCACUGGGCUUAAAGCGUGUGUAGGCGGAUCGUUAAGUACCUUGUGAAAUCCCACGGCUCAACCGUGGAACUGCUGGGUAUACUGGCGGUCUUGAGCCACCUAGGGGCGAGCGGAACAAGCGGUGGAGCGGUGAAAUGCGUAGAUAUCGCUUGGAACGCCAACGGUGAAAACAGCUCGCUGGGGGUGUGCUGACGCUGAGACACGAAAGCCAGGGGAGCGAACGGG